GACGAACGCUGGCGGCGUGCUUAACACAUGCAAGUCGAACGGUGAAUCGCCUUCCUUUUUGGUGGGUGUGGAUGAGUGGCGAACGUGUGAGUAACACGUGAGUAACCUGCCUCCUUCUUCUGGCUAACCGCAUGAAAGCGUGGCUAAUACGGGAUAAUCGGCGUCUGUUGCAUGCUCGGUCUGGUAAAUAUUUUGUUUCGGAGGGGGUCGGGCUAGCGGCCUUUCAUCUUGGUGGUGGGGGGAUGGCCUACCAAGGCGGUGAAGGGUAGCCGGCCUGGGAGGGUGGACGGUGUCAGAGAGACUGAGACACGGCCCAGACUCCGACGGGCGGCAGCGGUGGGGAAUAGAGGACGAUGUGCGCAAGCUUGAUGAAGGGGCGCCGCGCGAGGGAUGGAGGCCUUCGUGUUGUGAGCCUCUUUCGCCAGUGAAGCAGGCCUGCCUCGGUUGUGGAUGGGUUGACGGUAGCUGGAUAAGAAGCGCCGGCUAACUACGUG
rnacentral:rRNA from 1 species